rnacentral:miRNA from 1 species
UGAGAUGAGAGAGAGGAUGAGAACGGAAGAGGGGAGGGAGGAACAAAAGUGAAAUAAAAACUUAAAUGGAUUUCAGUUUUUAGUUUUUGUUUUCACUUUUGUCAUUCCUUCAUCCUUCUUCUCAUCCUCCCCAUUCAUCUUCUCU